UACAGAGGGUGCAAGCGUUAAUCGGAGUUACUGGGCGUAAAGGGCGCGUAGGCGGUUGAUUAAGUUAGAUGUGAAAGCCCUGGGCUUAACCUAGGAACUGCAUUUAAUACUGAUUGACUAGAAUAUUGUAGAGGGUAGUGGAAUUUCCGGUGUAGCGGUGAAAUGCGUAGAGAUCGGAAGGAACACCAGUGGCGAAGGCGGCUACCUGGACAACUAUUGACGCUGAGGCGCGAAAGCGUGGGGAGCAAACAGG
rnacentral:rRNA from 1 species